rnacentral:lncRNA from 1 species
UCAUUAUAUUUGCCACAGAUGUGUAAAAUGGACUCAUGCCUUUUGUUUAAAUUCUUACUUUACUCUAGUCCUAAUCAAUGAUAUCUGUGAAAUCGGUAUACAUGAAUCACCUCAUUCAAGAAAUGGCUGCACAGAGUUUCAAAAUGCAAAAAUGAAAGCUUAUUGGAAUAACGAGGUAAAGAGGAAAGGUGGAGGAUGCAGGGAGGCAGCUCUGGGAGCUCAGCAGCCAGACAGGACCACAGGGAUAAGCAGCAUUUUGAUGUUUAUUUA